UACGUAGGGUGCGAGCGUUAAUCGGAAUUACUGGGCGUAAAGCGUGCGCAGGCGGUUUUCCAAGACAGAUGUGAAAUCCCCGGGCUCAACCUGGGAAUGGCAUUUGUGACUGGAAGGCUAGAGUGUGUCAGAGGGGGGGUAGAAUUCCACGUGUAGCAGUGAAAUGCGUAGAGAUGUGGAGGAAUACCGAUGGCGAAGGCAGCCCCCUGGGAUAACACUGACGCUCAUGCACGAAAGCGUGGGGGAGCAAACAGG
rnacentral:rRNA from 1 species